CUAUACCCAAACUGCUUGGAGUUGCAGGUAGGCGGCAAAUGAGUGAAUCCCCAUGAGCAUAGGUACACGAUGUGAUUGGGGUGAGUGAAUGCUGCCAACACCGCUGCAGCUUCAAGUAGGAAGGG
rnacentral:antisense_RNA from 1 species